ensembl:snRNA U2 U2 spliceosomal RNA
GUGUCUCUUGGAACAUUUUCUAAGUUAUAUCUGUUCUUAUCAGUUUAACAUCUGAUAUGUUCUUAAUAUGAGGACUGUAUAUUACAUUGAUUUUUUAAACAGGGGUCAGGGAGAUGGAAUAGGAGCUUGCUCUGUCCACCCCAUGCAUCGAACUGGUAUUGCAGUAUCUCCAAACAAAAAAAAUGAU